ACUAUUUUGGCAGAAAAAAUGUAAUGAUUUUAGAAGUCAUGAAUGUAUAAUUUUAUACAUGUAGUA
rnacentral:tRNA from 2 species